GACGAACGCUGGCGGCGUGCCUAAUACAUGCAAGUAGAACGCUGAAGGAGGAGCUUGCUCUUCUGGAUGAGUUGUGAACGGGUGAGUAACGCGUAGGUAACCUGCCUGGUAGCGGGGGAUAACUAUUGGAAACGAUAGCUAAUACCGCAUAACAGUAGAUGUUGCAUGACAUUUACUUAAAAGGUGCAAUUGCAUCACUACCAGAUGGACCUGCGUUGUAUUAGCUAGUUGGUGGGGUAACGGCUCACCAAGGCGACGAUACAUAGCCGACCUGAGAGGGUGAUCGGCCACACUGGGACUGAGACACGGCCCAGACUCCUACGGGAGGCAUCAGUAGGGAAUCUUCGGCAAUGGACGGAAGUCUGACCGAGCAACGCCGCGUGAGGGAAGAAGGUUGUCGGAUCGUAAAGCUCUGUUGUAAGAGAAGAACGAGUGUGAGAGUGGAAAGUUCACACUGUGACGGUAUCUUACCAGAAAGGGACGGCUAACUACGUG
rnacentral:rRNA from 1 species